CUACGGGCCGCUCCAGUAGGGAAUAUUGCACAAUGGGCGAAAGCCUGAUGCAGCAACGCCGCGUGAGGGACGACGGCCUUCGGGUUGUAAACCUCUUUUAGCAGGGAAGAAGCGAAAGUGACGGUACCUGCAGAAAAAGCACCGGCUAACUACGUGCCAGCAGCCGGGGUAAUACGUGAGGGUGCAAGCGUUGUCCGGAAUUAUUGGGCGUAAAGAGCUCGUAGGCGGUUUGUCGCGUCUGCUGUGAAAAUCCGAGGCUCAACCUCGGACCUGCAGUGGGUACGGGCAAACUAGAGUGCGGUAGGGGAGAUUGGAAUUCCUGGUGUAGCGGUGGGAUGCGCAGAUAUCAGGAGGAACACCAAUGGCGAAGGCAGAUCUCUGGGCCGUAACUGACGCUGAGGAGCGAAAGCGUGGGGAGCGAACAGGAUUAGAUACCCUCGUAGUC
rnacentral:rRNA from 1 species